GACAGAGGAUGCAAGCGUUAUCCGGAAUGAUUGGGCGUAAAGCGUCUGUAGGUGGCUUUUUAAGUCCGCCGUCAAAUCCCAGGGCUCAACCCUGGACAGGCGGUGGAAACUACCAAGCUGGAGUACGGUAGGGGCAGAGGGAAUUUCCGGUGGAGCGGUGAAAUGCGUAGAGAUCGGAAAGAACACCAAAGCGGAGGAAGAGCUCACUGGGACAUUACUGACACUGAAACAUGAAAGCGUGGGUAGCGAAUGGG
rnacentral:rRNA from 1 species